CCUACGGGAGGCAGCAGUGAGGAAUAUUGGUCAAUGGGCGCGAGCCUGAACCAGCCAAGUAGCGUGAAGGAUGACUGCCCUACGGGUUGUAAACUUCUUUUGUACAAGGGUAAACCUGAAUACGUGUAUUCAGCUGAAAGUACUGUACGAAUAAGGAUCGGCUAACUCCGUGCCAGCAGCCGCGGUAAUACGGAGGAUCCAAGCGUUAUCCGGAUUUAUUGGGUUUAAAGGGUGCGUAGGCGGAUUGAUAAGUUAGAGGUGAAAUGUCCGAGCUUAACUCGGGAACUGCCUCUAAUACUGUUGAUCUAGAGAGUAGAUGCGGUAGGCGGAAUGUAUGGUGUAGCGGUGAAAUGCAUAGAUAUCACGCAGAACCCCGAUUGCGAAGGCAGCAUGCCGGCUUCCGACUGACGCUGAAGCACGAAAGCGUGGGGAUCGAACAGGAUUAGAUACCCGUGUAGUC
rnacentral:rRNA from 1 species